rnacentral:lncRNA from 1 species
AGUUUAAACUGCUUUAAUGUUCCUAUUCCCCAAAAACAGUUGUAAUGAUAGUUCAAUAAACAGAAAAACAAGGCACACAGUCUCAAUAGGAGACAAUAAUAAAACAAAACUUACAGAAAAAUAUUUUGCUACAUUCCAGUUUUAUCAAAGAAUUUAAAAAGGCAGAGAGAAAGAAAGAAACAGGGAAAGGAAACAACAACUAGAAGAAAAGACAGAAAACACUAACAGAAAACAGAAAAAUACAUAAUUAGCUGUCAGGGUUCCCAUAUAAUGGCUAGCAAAUAUUCUUAUAUGUAUAUUUGAUGUUAUGAAUGUGUACGCUGAAUUUCUCGUACAAAGGCUGCUUCUGUUAUGCUCCAUUUUCUUAUUGUUGAUAGUAUUUCAGGCUUCCGAUGUUGGGCUACCAUUAAUUUAGUUAUCAAAAGACAGAUCCAGAUGGAUUUCGUGUUUUUAAAUCAGUUCCAUGUUUCUGUUAUUUUUGUCAAGGCAGCAGAAUUCUGUGGAAAGCGGAUGCCUAAGGAUUAAAAUUGAACCAACUGUCCCUAAGAAUCUUUGUCAAGAAUUGUCUGAUUUCCAAAGAAUUUGUCACUAUCUUCCCUGUCACAAUAACCAGUCCAAAAAACUCCAAAAUGCUUUGUCCUCAGUUGCAAAAAACUGAAUUAGAUCCUAAAAAUAUUACUCAAAAGUUAUCGUUUUCAGGGAUUACUACCCAAAUUAAUGAACUAGAAAAUUAGUGAGAGCCAUUAUUUACUCUUCUGUCAUUAGCUGCCGGAAAAGCAUUUGACAGAGUAAACUGGAUUAUUUGUGAUACCUAUUAGAAAAGUUUGGCCUGUGUAAAAGAAAGGAAACAAUCUCAAUAUAAACUGAUAAAAGUCUAAAACUUUCAAACUGCAUUUGGCUGGGUUGCCCAAUCUCCCCAAUUAGGAACAUUACAAUUUGAACUGGAAAUAAUUAUGAAGUGGAACACAGCCAGAAAACUAAACAGGAAGGUGUCAAAGUAGUUCUAUCUACCAAAUAACUAGAAAAAACUGGCCACUGCACCCUUAUUUACCCCCUUGUUUCCAUACAUUUGUAAUUUUGGAAGGAUAUACAUGCAAGAGACAGUUCAACCUGAACAAGGAAUCAUUUGUAGUACUGCAGCAACUGCAUAAUGAAAAGCCUACUGAAGUUAAGGGAAAGAUUUCUCUUGACUUCAACGGAUGUAAGAUCACUCCCAAAGCGCAAGUUAGUUCAAAAAAACCCUAGAGAAAAACAACACUUCGAAAUGGGGGUGUGAGAGGAAAAGCUCGCCAAUUUCAGUCCAGAACAGUGCAUCCCCACUUUGGUUCAAUGCCUAAAAUUGGCUCAAAAUAUCAUGUCUGUAUAGGCUAUUCAAAGCAUUCCUGCAGUACAGUUAUGAAUAUUGUUCACUUCUCAGUUUUUGCAUAGCUAUUAGUAUAUUCCAUCUAAUUGCUAAGUAAUUAGAAUCCCCUGUAAUCAAAGUUUCUUAUUGGACUCUCAUAUCUAUAAAUACAUUUCCUGAUAUACUUUUCCAAGCUGCCCAUGAGCUAAGUAUCUUCCAGGAAUCAUAUACCUAGUUUUAUUUUUCUUAAUUUCUAUCCACACAGCCUCUGCUAUGUCAGCCAAAACAUUCAUAUCACUUUUCUCUACCUACUCAG